UAACUUUGUCAAAUGAUCAGGCCGAAAUGUAGGUUGAAAUUGUUAAGCGAUCAGUAGCAUUGACAUUAUUGGUACACCCAAAAGACAGAUUACUAAAAUAAGCUAAUAAAUCUUUGGUAAACCAAACAUUAGUAGAAUAUACAUAUUUUCUGUAAAUAUUACCGACUGUUAGUAAAUGUAUAAAUGUCAGCUGCAAUACACAUCCCUACCAACGAUUAGUGCAUUUUAUUGUGCGUUCUCGGUAACUUUGACAAUUGUCAUCCCUGGUAACCGUGAAAAACUAUUUGUCAUCAUUACAAUUUUUCCGUGCUGAUAACAACAAUAAAGCGCAGAAAAACCGAUUCAGAGUGGUUUAUUGAUUUGUUGGACCAUUCUUUUUCUAAGCUGGAUAAAUAUGAUAAAUGUCAGCAGUACUUGCGAGAGCUGAUACAUCAUGGAUUGCUAUGCAAGCAGUGUAAUCUCAUAGUGCAUCGGAAGUGCGGGGCGGGAAGGGACUUGACAGUCGGACGGUAGAGUUGACCAACCGUAGUCAGCAGGUCUUUGCCAGCAGUUUAACGUAGCCAAGCUGCCGGAUUUCCAUUUCGUUCGUAACCGUUAUUCAGUUAGAGCAGAUCGAACGAAAUGCAAAAACAACUCGAACGAAAUACAGGAUGGAAUAUUAUCAAGUUGUUCGAAAUAUUUCGAAUCGAUCGAAAUACAGAAUAGGGCUGAAUACUUUGCAACGAGAUCGAACAGAAAGCGAUGUGUUACUUGAACCUGGAUCUGUACAAGCUUCAUCGAACGACGCCGCCGAACUACGACGAGGUUAACAAUCUGCGUGCUAAAGAAGUUCUUACGGAAGCUGCCUGAUCAGAUCAUUUCGGUUAUGUUUUACGACAAAUUCGUCGUUGUCUCAAAAAUUACCAGUGAUGCGGUAGCAGUGGCUUUGCAUAUCCAGGAUCCGCCAAUUUACCACAACAUGGCGCUCAAGUACAUCAUGAUCCAUCUGAUACGAAUAUGCCGAAUGCAGUAUCAGCGGGGACUGAAAGAGGAGCCGAUAAUAAUGAUACAAGUGGUGCCAUAUUCUGCGUCCUCUUUGGGAGAAAAUUGUGUAUGUAUACGUGCCAGCAUUGCACAUGUUAAGGCGUUUGUUUAUUUUUCCAGUCAAGUCGUGUAUAACACGGAAAACCACUUGCGAAUAAUGGAACUGUUGCUCUAUAAGCUGGACUGGAACGAAAAACUACCAGGAUUUCUAUCUGCUCCUGCGGUACCACCACGGGAAAUCUCCCGAUGUACGGCUGUGUUACAGCAGCAGCAGCGACAAAAAAUACCCGGUUCAUCCACUGCUUUACCAGCAGCAUAGGCUACUUCAAAAAGGCUGCUGAAAAUGGGGGGACAGCGUUGAUACGAGCAGUUUGUAAUGCAAACACACCAGCUGACCUGUCGGAUCAUAUCGACCGGUUCCUCGAGUUCCAAGUUUAUUUGUAUAGAAAUAAAUAUUUAUU